rnacentral:rRNA from 1 species
GGCCUACGGGACGCAGCAGUGAGGAAUAUUGGUCAAUGGGAGAGAUCCUGAACCAGCCAAGCCGCGUGAGGGAAGACGGCCCUAUGGGUUGUAAACCUCUUUUGUCGGGGAACAAAACCCGGGACGUGUCCCGGACUGCGUGUAUCCGAAGAAAAAGCAUCGGCUAACUCCGUGCCAGCAGCCGCGGUAAUACGGAGGAUGCGAGCGUUAUCCGGAUUUAUUGGGUGUAAAGGGUGCGUAGACGGGAAGGCAAGUUAGUUGUGAAAUCCCUCGGCUUAACUGAGGAACUGCAACUAAAACUACAU